UACGUAGGGAGCAAGCGUUGUCCGGAAUCAUUGGGCGUAAAGCGCGCGUAGGCGGCCCGGUAAGUCCGCUGUAAAAGUCCAGGGCUCAACCCUGGACUGCCUUUCAUACUGGCUAUCUAGAGUCCGGAAGAGGUGAGUGGAACUCCUAGUGUAGAGGUGGAAUUCGUAGAUAUUAGGAAGAACACCAGUGGCGAAGGCGGCUCACUGGUCCGGUACGUCACGGCUGAGGUGCGAAAGCGUGGGG
rnacentral:rRNA from 1 species